CGUCGGCGCACGGGUGAGUAACACGUAUGCAACCUGGCCGUCACAGGUGGAUAACCGGAAGAAAUUCCGACUAAUACAGCAUAACACUCCUGAGGGACAUCCUUCGGGAGUCAAAGGAGGCAACUCCGGUGACGGAUGGGCAUGCGGCGCAUUAGGUAGUUGGUAGGGUAACGGCCUACCAAGCCGACGAUGCGUAGGGGUUCUGAGAGGAAGGUCCCCCACAUUGGAACUGAGACACGGUCCAAACUCCUACGGGAGGCAGCAG
rnacentral:rRNA from 1 species